UUUGAGACAGGUUCUCACUAAGUCACUUAGGGGCUUGCUAAGUUGCUGAGUCUGGCCUUGGACUUGCAGUCUUCCUACCUCAGCUGAGUCUUGUGCCACCAUGCCCAGCUCAUUAACAUUUCUAAGGUGGAACAGAUACUGGUAUCGAUAGGUACUAGUAAACUGUGAGGACUGGAUCAGCAAGGGGCUGCCUUGCAGAGGUGGUCAGAUAACCAGCAGGUUUGAGGAAACAGGUGGGAGACUGGAGUGGCUUAGAGAAGUGGACCCUUGGUCAGGUACUUGGGAGUUGUUCCUGCUGCAGCUGAGUUCCCCCAGUAGGCAGAGGGCAUAAGGUAUGCAAGCCUGGGGUCUGGGCCAAGAGUAGAGCUUUGGAGGAGUUUGGGCUUCUCUUCUUCUUGGAGAGAAGUACAGUAGAUAUGGGGGAGGGAGACAGCUUUUUAGUAAUAAACCUUUUAAGAGUUCAUGAAGAGGACUCGGGCUGUAGUUCAGUGGUAAAGUGCUUGCCUCGCUUUACUGGGCUUGUUCUUAUAUGUCCCACAGCUCCGCCAGUCAGCCAAGCCAGCAAACAGCAUUCAAAAGACAUUCUCAGAGGAGGACAUACAAUCAAUCAACAAGUACAUGAAAAAAUGCUCACCAUCUCUAGCAGUCAGAGAAAUGCAAAUCAAAACCACCCUAAGAUACCAUCUCACUCCAGCAAGAUUGGCAGCCAUUAUGAAGCCAUUGCGAGGAUGUGGGGAAAAGGGUACACUUGUACAUUGCUGGUGGGACUGCAAAUUGGUGCGGCCAAUUUGGAAAGCAGUAAGGAGAUUUCUUGGAAAGCUGGGAAUGGAACCACCAUUUGACCCAGCUAUUCCCCUAAAGACCUAAAAAGAGCAUGCUACAGGGACACUGCUACAUCGUUGUUCAUAGCAGCACAAUUCACAAUAGCAAGACUGUGGAACCAACCUAUAUGCCCUUCAAUAGACGAAUGGAUAAAAAAAAAAUGUGGCAUUUAUACACAAUGGAGUAUUACUCUGCAUUAAAAAAUGACAAAAUCAGAAUUUGCAGGGAAAUGGAUGGCAUUAGAGCAGAUUAUGCUAAGUGAAGCUAGCCAAUCCCUAAAAAACAAAUGCCAAAUGUCUUCUUUGAUAUAAGGAGAGUAACUAAGAACAGAGUAGGGAAGAAGAGCAUGAGAAGAAGAUUAACAUUAAACAGGGAUGAGAGGUAGGAGGGAAAGGGAGAGAGAGGGGAAAUUACAUGGAAAUGGAAGGAGACCCUCAG
rnacentral:lncRNA from 1 species